rnacentral:rRNA from 1 species
AUGUCUGUGUUCAAGUUACCUAAAGGUAUAUGUAAAUCGAUCACCGAUGAAAUUUCAGGGUUUUGGUGGGGUGAUGGAGAGGAGAAGAAAAAAAUGCAUUGGUUUGCCUGGUGGAAAAUGUGUGUACCGAAGAAAAAAGGUGGCAUGGGGUUUAGAUACCUUCACAACUUUAAUCUUGCUAUGUUAGCAAAGCAGUGUUGGCGACUACUCCAAAAUCCCGAUUCUUUGUGUGCACGAGUUCUGAGGGCAAAAUAUUAUCCCAAUGGAGAUAUUGUGAAAUCGGCCUCAAGAAAGGUUCUUCGUUCACUUGGCAGAGUAUUGUAG